UGUCAUUCAGGAACUAUAUCGAUUCAGUUAUUAGAACUUUUUAUGAGGAAAUAAGAUAUGACCACUUGUUUGUUGAUUUUCUUAGUUUAUCACUGUCGAAUAAUAUUAUUACUAGGUUAAAGAUCCGCGCCUUGUUAUUUAUAUAUUAUGACAUAAUAAAUAUAUUGAAUAAUUAAAAAUUCAGUAACUAUUACAUAUAAAAUUAAAUUGGUGCAAACAUAUAAAUUUUAUUAAUCAAAACAAUUUUUCUUCUAU
rnacentral:lncRNA from 1 species